UUAAGCGACCAAGCGUACACGGUGGAUGCCCUGGCAGUCAGAGGCGAUGAAGGACGUGCUAAUCUGCGAUAAGCGCCGGUAAGGUGAUAUGAACCGUUAUAACCGGCGAUUUCCGAAUGGGGAAACCCAGUGUGAUUCGUCACACUAUCAUUAACUGAAUCCAUAGGUUAAUGAGGCGAACCGGGGGAACUGAAACAUCUAAGUACCCCGAGGAAAAGAAAUCAACCGAGAUUCCCCCAGUAGCGGCGAGCGAACGGGGAGGAGCCCAGAGCCUGAAUCAGCAUGUGUGUUAGUGGAAGUGUCUGGAAAGGCGCGCGAUACAGGGUGACAGCCCCGUACACAAAAGCGCAUAUGCUGUGAGCUCGAUGAGUAGGGCGGGACACGUGGUAUCCUGUCUGAAUAUGGGGGGACCAUCCUCCAAGGCUAAAUACUCCUGACUGACCGAUAGUGAACCAGUACCGUGAGGGAAAGGCGAAAAGAACCCCGGCGAGGGGAGUGAAACAGAACCUGAAACCGUGUACGUACAAGCAGUGGGAGCACAGGUUUACCUGUGUGACUGCGUACCUUUUGUAUAAUGGGUCAGCGACUUAUAUUCUGUAGCAAGGUUAACCGCAUAGGGGAGCCGAAGGGAAACCGAGUCUUAAUUGGGCGUUAAGUUGCAGGGUAUAGACCCGAAACCCGGUGAUCUAGCCAUGGGCAGGUUGAAGGUUGGGUAACACUAACUGGAGGACCGAACCGACUAAUGUUGAAAAAUUAGCGGAUGACCUGUGGCUGGGGGUGAAAGGCCAAUCAAACCGGGAGAUAGCUGGUUCUCCCCGAAAGCUAUUUAGGUAGCGCCUCGUGAACUCAUCUCCGGGGGUAGAGCACUGUUUCGGCUAGGGGGCCAUCCCGGCUUACCAACCCGAUGCAAACUGCGAAUACCGGAGAAUGUUAUCACGGGAGACACACGGCGGGUGCUAACGUCCGUCGUGAAGAGGGAAACAACCCAGACCGCCAGCUAAGGUCCCAAAGUCAUGGUUAAGUGGGAAACGAUGUGGGAAGGCCCAGACAGCCAGGAUGUUGGCUUAGAAGCAGCCAUCAUUUAAAGAAAGCGUAAUAGCUCACUGGUCGAGUCGGCCUGCGCGGAAGAUGUAACGGGGCUAAACCAUGCACCGAAGCUGCGGCAGCGAACGUAUCACUUAAAACGAUUCAGAAGCUUACGACUGACGGAGCGAAGCGACGUCAAAGCGUUCAUAAAAGUCGAGUCGGUUUAAGGAUACGUUCGUUGGGUAGGGGAGCGUUCUGUAAGCCGUUGAAGGUGUGUCGUGAGGCAUGCUGGAGGUAUCAGAAGUGCGAAUGCUGACAUAAGUAACGAUAAAGCGGGUGAAAAGCCCGCUCGCCGGAAGACCAAGGGUUCCUGUCCAACGUUAAUCGGGGCAGGGUGAGUCGACCCCUAAGGCGAGGCCGAAAGGCGUAGUCGAUGGGAAACGGGUUAAUAUUCCCGUACUUGGUGUUACUGCGAAGGGGGGACGGAGAAGGCUAUGUUGGCCGGGCGACGGUUGUCCCGGUUUAAGCGUGUAGGCUGACUUUCCAGGCAAAUCCGGAGAGUCAAGGCUGAGGCGUGACGACGAGGCACUACGGUGCUGAAGCAACAAAUGCCCUGCUUCCAGGAAAAGCCUCUAAGCAUCAGGUAACAUCAAAUCGUACCCCAAACCGACACAGGUGGUCAGGUAGAGAAUACCAAGGCGCUUGAGAGAACUCGGGUGAAGGAACUAGGCAAAAUGGUGCCGUAACUUCGGGAGAAGGCACGCUGACAUGUAGGUGAAGUGGUUUACCCAUGGAGCUGAAGUCAGUCGAAGAUACCAGCUGGCUGCAACUGUUUAUUAAAAACACAGCACUGUGCAAACACGAAAGUGGACGUAUACGGUGUGACGCCUGCCCGGUGCCGGAAGGUUAAUUGAUGGGGUCAGCGCAAGCGAAGCUCCUGAUCGAAGCCCCGGUAAACGGCGGCCGUAACUAUAACGGUCCUAAGGUAGCGAAAUUCCUUGUCGGGUAAGUUCCGACCUGCACGAAUGGCGUAAUGAUGGCCAGGCUGUCUCCACCCGAGACUCAGUGAAAUUGAACUCGCUGUGAAGAUGCAGUGUACCCGCGGCAAGACGGAAAGACCCCGUGAACCUUUACUAUAGCUUGACACUGAACAUUGAGCCUUGAUGUGUAGGAUAGGUGGGAGGCUUUGAAGCGUGGACGCCAGUCUGCGUGGAGCCGACCUUGAAAUACCACCCUUUAAUGUUUGAUGUUCUAACGUGGACCCGUGAUCCGGGUUGCGGACAGUGUCUGGUGGGUAGUUUGACUGGGGCGGUCUCCUCCUAAAGAGUAACGGAGGAGCACGAAGGUUGGCUAAUCCUGGUCGGACAUCAGGAGGUUAGUGCAAUGGCAUAAGCCAGCUUGACUGCGAGCGUGACGGCGCGAGCAGGUGCGAAAGCAGGUCAUAGUGAUCCGGUGGUUCUGAAUGGAAGGGCCAUCGCUCAACGGAUAAAAGGUACUCCGGGGAUAACAGGCUGAUACCGCCCAAGAGUUCAUAUCGACGGCGGUGUUUGGCACCUCGAUGUCGGCUCAUCACAUCCUGGGGCUGAAGUAGGUCCCAAGGGUAUGGCUGUUCGCCAUUUAAAGUGGUACGCGAGCUGGGUUUAGAACGUCGUGAGACAGUUCGGUCCCUAUCUGCCGUGGGCGCUGGAGAAUUGAGGGGGGCUGCUCCUAGUACGAGAGGACCGGAGUGGACGCAUCACUGGUGUUCGGGUUGUCAUGCCAAUGGCACUGCCCGGUAGCUAAAUGCGGAAGAGAUAAGUGCUGAAAGCAUCUAAGCACGAAACUUGCCCCGAGAUGAGUUCUCCCUGAGACUUAGAGUCUCCUGAAGGAACGUUGAAGACGACGACGUUGAUAGGCCGGGUGUGUAAGCGCAGCGAUGCGUUGAGCUAACCGGUACUAAUGAACCGUGAGGCUUAACCUU
rnacentral:rRNA from 1 species